UACGAAGGGGGCUAGCGUUGUUCGGAUUUACUGGGCGUAAAGCGCACGUAGGCGGAUCGUUAAGUCGGGGGUGAAAUCCUGGAGCUCAACUCCAGAACUGCCUUCGAUACUGGCGAUCUUGAGUCCGGAAGAGGUGAGUGGAACUCCUAGUGUAGAGGUGGAAUUCGUAGAUAUUAGGAAGAACACCAGUGGCGAAGGCGGCUCACUGGUCCGGUACUGACGCUGAGGUGACGAAGCGUGGGGAGCAAACAGG
rnacentral:rRNA from 1 species